rnacentral:rRNA from 1 species
GAUGAACGCUAGCUACAGGCUUAACACAUGCAAGUCGAGGGACCGGCGCACGGGUGAGUAACACGUAUCCAACCUGCCCUUUACUCGGGGAUAGCCUUUCGAAAGAAAGAUUAAUACCCGAUGUCAAGGAUGGGGAUGCGUUCCAUUAGGUUGUUGGUGAGGUAACGGCUCACCAAGCCUUCGAUGGAUAGGGGUUAUGAGAGGAAGGCCCCCCGCAUUGGAACUACGGCACGGUCCAAACUCGUACGGGAGGGAGCAGUGAGGUAUAUUGUUCAAUAGGCGUUAGCCUGAACCAGCCAAGUGUCGUGAAGGAUGCAGGCUUAUGGAUGGUAAACUUCUUUUAUAUAAGAAGAUGUAUUAUAUGAAUAAGGAUCGGCUAACUCCGUGCCAGCAGCCGCGGUAAUUC